GGACUGUGUUUGACUGGGAAAUAGAAUUGUUGUGGGUGUGUAGCAACGCAAAGAGUAGAGCGGCACUUAAUAGUAUAACUGCAUGUGCCUUCAUCAACACUGUUGCUCUUAUCUGGCGAGAAAGAAACAACAUUAGAUUUAACAGGAAAACAUUUGAUGAAUCUCAACUGUGCAGAGAAAUAGCCCCGAUAAUCCAUAUCCGAGGCAGGAAUUGCAGGCGUUGGCAAUCUGGAUUGGGCAAACUUAACAAAUUUCCUUAGUUUCUAGUUUACUAGAUGUUCCUAUACUAUGAUGUACCUAGAGAAAGUUAGAAUUUAGUAUAGAAGAGUGAUGUAAAUGAGUAGGAGUAGUCCAAUCUCUUACUAAAGCUUCAACUUGAAAAUAUUUUUUUUGAUAUUAAUGGAUAGAAUGUUUACCCAAACAAAAAAAACAAUUCUUCAUUCAUGGAUUCCAGACGUGGUUCAUAUAGGUGAGUCAAAUUUCCAGAUCAAGGGAGAAUGAAAGUGCAGCUGAAGACAUGAAAUAGAACAAGAAGAAGAAUAGGAAAUCAGCAGCAGUGAUCAUAGCUAGUAUCCAGCAGUCACACAGAGCAGCAAUAGUAACAGUUUUGAACCAAAAUCACUUCGCAAAAACCCGGGAAAACUUCAACAGAAGUACAGCACCAGCAAAUGACCAAAGCGAACUGAUUAAACCCCAAAACCUACUCAAAAUCAAACAAAAACACCUUUGAACCUUCAAAUUACCAUAACUAAACUAAAGAAAUGUAAACCAAUAGCUAAAAGUUGAAUUCUUCUUCGGUUUUAAUGAAACAGUAGUUUUUUUUUUUGGAUUUUGGACAGUUUUCUAUUGUUUUUUGGUUUUUCUGUAUAAAACUAAGAUCUAGAAGAAGAUUUUUGAACUUUCUAUUGAUUUGAAAUUCAAAAUGCAGGCUCAGAUCUGUAAAGAGGAUUUUUGGGGGGAAUUUUGAAGGGUGAAAAGCUUGUUUGUGAAGUCAAUAUUCAUGCCCUUUUAUAUGAAAAAUGAGGGGCAACCCUCAAAUUUUUUGUUUUCCUUUUAGUCCCUUUUAUUUUCAUACUAAUCCUCUACUUAUUAACUUGUUCCACAAGUUAGUACCCUAAGUUUAUAUGCACUAAAGUCCUAUUCUAGAAUAGUCUAAGAUAUUCUAGUGUGAUCUACAUCAUUCAUGUCCCACUCUAAUUACCUAAAUACCCCUGAAUACCCCUGAAAUUAUUCACCUAGGUCACAAUUAACCUAUCCAAUUGAUUGAACUAUGGUUCAACUAUAACCAAUCAGCUUAAGCUAAACAUAAACUCAUUAACUAAUGAACUAAAGGAAAUUCUGAUUCACAUCAACAAAUUAAAACCAGCUAAGCCUAAAGAAAAUUGAUUAAAACAAAUUAUCAAAGCAAAGGAUCAAACUAAUGUCCAAAACAGAAUUAAACUAAACUAGAACAAUUUCACAAACAACGCCAGUAUUGAAUCAAAAUAGAACAAAUUAUAAUCUAAUAAUCAAACUAAAAUCAAAAAUCAAAACGAACUAGAAUAAGGUAUGAACAGCCAGAGUUAACUCGAUUAUCAGUCAAGCCAAAAAAUGAAAUUUCAUGGGAUUAACAGAAGAGAGCAGGAAAUCAGAAACGGAAAAUCUAAGAAUAUGAAUGAACAAAUAAAAUCCUAAAACAAAUAGGAAACGGGACAAAAUCAAUUCCUAAAUUAUCUACUGGGAAAAAAAUGAAUAUAGAAAAAUAAGGAUGAAGCAAACAAUAACAAAAGAAAAAGGAUGAAAGAAAAAUAAAGAGCAGUUAAUAAGAAAUACCUAACGCGGCAAGGAUAGAUGAUGAAGAAAAUCCUUCGAUUCUGUAGAAUUAGGGGCCAAUUUUUUGACUCCAAAUUCGAGCAGUUGGAGGCAGAUUUGAAGGAAGAUUACCAGGAAUUUGGUAUGAGGAGAUGAGGGAGGUCUUGUGGUGUAAAUUAGGACCGGUUUUGGUGGUAUGGCCGCCGUGGACGGCGGAGACAACAACAACAAUUUCGAUUAUUCGAAGGCUUCUGGUGGGAUUGGAAAGGAGAUAGUGGAAGAUUCGUGAUGAGGAUGCAGGCGGUAUAGGGGUGUGAUUUUGAGAGCCAGCGGAGACGAUUGUGUCUUCGCCGGCGGCGGCGUUGGUUGAGGGUGGGGGGUACGAGGAAGAAGCAGAUGGUCUCUAGGGCUAUUGGGAAUUUU
rnacentral:lncRNA from 1 species